rnacentral:rRNA from 1 species
CCUACGGGAGGCUGCAGUAGGGAAUAUUGCACAAUGGGGGGAACCCUGAUGCAGCAACGCCGCGUGGGUGAAGAAGUACUUCGGUAUGUAAAGCCCUGUCAGCAGGGAAGAAAAUGACGGUACCUGACCAAGAAGCCCCGGCUAACUACGUGCCAGCAGCCGCGGUAAUACGGAGGGGGCAAGCGUUAUCCGGAUUUACUGGGUGUAAAGGGAGCGUAGACGGCAAGGCAAGUCUGGAGUGAAAGCCCGUGGCUCAACCACGGGACUGCUUUGGAAACUGUGUUGCUGGAGUGCAGGAGGGGUAAGCGGAAUUCCUAGUGUAGCGGUGAAAUGCGUAGAUAUUAGGAGGAACACCGGUGGCGAAGGCGGCUUACUGGACUGUAACUGACGUUGAGGCUCGAAGGCGUGGGGAGCAAACAGGAUUAGAUACCCGAGUAGUC